UGAUGCCUCAAUCCGCACCUUGUUUUUCGUGCGUUUCCGUAAAAGACGCGGAAACAUACGAAGAUAACGGUAGGUUUGCGUUUUUUUGGUUGCGGAAGAAAUUGGAUUUACAAAUGGAAUUAUAAAUGUUUUAAGGAAAUUUACAGCUAGUUUCGAGUUUCUCGAGUAAGAACUUGGAUUGUAGUAAAGGAGAACUGAAGUAAAACUUGCUUAUCCGUUUAAUCUUCUAUCUAAGCUGUUCAGCCUCGGGUCGCGUGUACUUUUAGCCUGAACACGGAAGUAGAGUGAAUAUGUCAUGAUGUGCCAAAGAAGUACCAGUACUCACAGUAGCUCUUUGUUCAUAUAACGUGGAAAACUAGGAAAAAUCAAAUGUUAGAUGUCAGGUCAUCUAAGUGCAAUCAGAUGAUGUUAUUCAACAUGCUGUGGCUGCAUUGAACUAGAAGUCAUAUCAUGAACAGAAUCCAGGGAUCAUAAGAGAAAUGUAUGUAUAGCCAAUGAUGAUGAUACCUGCUGGUCAAUCACUGCCAAAGAAUAACCUAUUCACAGAAAUAUGGCAUCUUUCGCACAUAUGGAAUGGAACAUUUUUGCCAAGAUGCUACAUAAACUCUGACACCGAGAAUAUGGCACCUUUCCCACAUAUGGAAUGGAAAAAUUUUGCCAAGACGCUACAUAAACUCUGACACCGAGAAUAUGGCACCUUUCACACAUAUGGAAUGGAACAUUUUUGCCAAGACGCUACAUAAACUCUGACACCGAGAAUAUGGCACCUUUCACACAGUCAUAUGGAAUGGAACAUUUUUGCAAAGAUGCAACAUAAACUCUGACACCGAACGUACAUUACGACUAGUAGGACAAUAAUGGUAACAUAAAUAACACCAUUUUAAAAACUCUUGUCUUCAGUAUUGCUGCAGCCGGUCAGAUUUUGGAUUUAAUAAAUGUAUUUCAUGAAGUCACUUACAGGACAGUACCUAUUGUCAAAUUAACUGUGUCAUAUGACAUAAGCCCUGCUAAGUCAUUACUAACACUAAGUCUUGUCAACAAAUAUAUUUAUUGCUUAGACUUUAUGAUUUGAUUUUUGUCGAAAAAUAUGCAUAAUUUCUGCAGCAGAUCCUACACUAGUGCAAUAUUAUUCUGAGAAAGAACAAAUUCAUAUUUCUGGAUGCAAAGCUAAUUUUCAUUACAUACACAGAGUUAGAUCUAAUCUUAGAAUUAUUCUGGUAGAUGAAAUAAAUAAGUUCUUAAAGUAAAAUUGAAAAUUUUGAUAUUAAAAGAUCGAAACAGUGAUGUUACAAAUGACGCCACGUAACCGAUACGAAAAUUGCAUGCCAGUACUGUAAAACCUGCUUAAGCGGUCGCCUCUAAUUAGCAGCCAACCUGUCUUAAGCAGCCUGUGUCUCGAUCAUUUCCCAAAAUGGUCAUUUAUUCUAUAAAUUACCUGCAUUAAGCAGCCACCUGCUGUAAACAGCCACUUUUCCCAACACCCUUGGCUGGCUGUUUAAGACAGGUUUUACUGUAUGGAAAAAUGUUGAUGUAUGUAAUUCGCAUUCGCCACUUGGAAGAGUAUAAAUAUGAGUAUGUAAUUCAGGUAUUGAUGUUUUCAAGCUUCUGUUUGAUUUGUCAGUUUGUAAUUUCUUUACUUUUCAAAUAUUACACAUCAUUCUAAAAUUCUUGAGUUGAGGUAGUAGGAACUUUUAUUCUGGAAUUCACUUUUAGACUGGUGUAUCCAGUGCCUGGCUUAUUUUCAUGUUGAAUGAUUCUAUACAGAUAUUUAUGUCGGAACAAUGCUGAAUUACCCGACGAUAUUAGUCGACAAGCGAGUGGGGAUAUUGCCCAUAUGAAAAAAUUAUCUCAAUAUUUCCUAGGAUGGCGUCAAAUCAGUUGGGCUACUGCAUGACUAUAUAUAUAUAAUCACACGGAAAUGGCGGUCAUUCCGUGUGUACUACAUUAUGACACAGUUGAAAUGAUGAUGAUUAUUGUUGUUUGAACUUGCUGUAAAAUUGGAGCACUUGCACUUUAGCGGUCCCUAUAAUAAUAGUAGUUUAAUAAUGUCUUAAAUAUUAAAAGUUAAAAGAGGUAGCUUUAUUUUGAGAUGAAUAUGUUUGGGGGCUGCUGCCCCCACAUCCCUGCUUUGCCCCACAUCCCCAACUUGCUGCGCAUGCGCAUUGUAAACUUCCGGGGACCACUAAAGUGCAUUCUACCCGUAAAAUUAUUUAUUCUAACACGAUCCGAUUCAUUUUCCUAUUAAACAAAGAAGACAGAAAACAGUGAAUUAUUAUACAACAAAUCACUGUUCUGACGUCACAGUUAUUAUGUCAUGGCGUCAAACGGCAUAGCGGCGCACUGGAAAAGAAACCGAUUGAAAACGGGCAAAUAUUUAAUGAAUGUCAGCAAGAAUCCUUGGUAACGUGUUAGAAUCGAAAUAAUACAUCUCAAUUAGUGAUUUGCUCUUGAAUAAAUCAUUGUUUGUCGUUCAGAUGCGUAUUAUUAUAUCAUUCGGGCUGCGCCCUCGUGAUACAAUUCCUUCGCAUCUGAACUCCAAACAAUGAUUUAUUCAACGACAAAUAACUGGAUGAGAUAUAUUAUUUCUUAAUUAUUUUUUAUUAUAUUGAUUUAUUUCAAAUUUACAACGUUUCACCGAGCACUGGAAUACACCUCGCGGCAAGUGCUGGUUUGACCGCUCUUAGUUGAAUUAAUUUUGUAUUUUAAAUUUGUUUUUAAAGAAAACUCCUGUUAAAAUUUUUUGCUGUUAUAUUCAUUUUAAAAAAAACAAUUGUUGUUGUCAAUGUUUUUUAAUCCAGUCUUGAAAUUUGCUCACUGCAGCACAGUAGGCUACUGUAUUGUUAUUAUUAGAAAUAAAUUUAUAAAGUGA